UACGAAGGUGGCAAGCGUUACUCGGAAUUACUAGGCGUAAAGGGCAGGUAGGUGGUUUGGUUAGUCUAUUGUGAAAGCUUCCGGCUUAACUGGGAGAGGUCAAUGGAUACUGCCAGACUUGAGUAUAGGAGAGGUUACUGGAAUUCCCGGUGUAGCGGUGAAAUGCGCAGAGAUCGGGAGGAACACCAAUGGCGAAAGCAGGUAACUGGACUAUUACUGACACUCAGCUGCGAAAGCUAGGGGAGCAAACAGG
rnacentral:rRNA from 1 species